rnacentral:rRNA from 1 species
GCAUAUUCUGUGAGCAGGAAAGAGGGGGAUCGUAAGACCUCUCGCUUUCGGAGCGGCCGAUGUCAGAUUAGCUAGUUGGUAGGGUAAAAGCCUACCAAGGCAACGAUCUGUAGCGGGUCUGAGAGGAUGAUCCGCCACACUGGGACUGAGACACGGCCCAGACUCCUACGGGAGGCAGCAGUGGGGAAUUUUGGACAAUGGGGGCAACCCUGAUCCAGCCAUGCCGCGUGAGUGAAGAAGGCCUUCGGGUUGUAAAGCUCUUUCAGCCGGGAAGAAAUCGCAUCUCCUAAUACGGGGUGCGGAUGACGGUACCGGAAUAAGAAGCACCGGCUAACUACGUG